rnacentral:rRNA from 1 species
AUUGAACGCUGGCGGCAGGCUUAACACAUGCAAGUCGAGCGGAGAGAGGUAGCUUGCUACUGAUCUUAGCGGCGGACGGGUGAGUAAUGCUUAGGAAUCUGCCUAUUAGUGGGGGACAACAUUUCGAAAGGAAUGCUAAUACCGCAUACGUCCUACGGGAGAAAGCAGGGGAUCUUCGGACCUUGCGCUAAUAGAUGAGCCUAAGUCGGAUUAGCUAGUUGGUGGGGUAAAGGCCUACCAAGGCGACGAUCUGUAGCGGGUCUGAGAGGAUGAUCCGCCACACUGGGACUGAGACACGGCCCAGACUCCUACGGGAGGCAGAAGUGGGGAAUAUUGGACAAUGGGCGCAAGCCUGAUCCAGCCAUGCCGCGUGUGUGAAGAAGGCCUUAUGGUUGUAAAGCACUUUAAGCGAGGAGGAGGCUACUUUAGUUAAUACCUAGAGAUAGUGGACGUUACUCGCAGAAUAAGCACCGGCUAACUCUGUGCCAGCAGCCGCCGCAGUAA